GGGCGCGGGCGGCGGGACGCGCCCCGGUUCCUUCCUUCCUUCCUUCCUCGGACUGGCCCGGCCCGGCCGCCCUCCCCAGCCCUAUUUAUUCGGGCGCCGGAGCCGCUCGCGGCCGCAGCAGAAGUAGCCAAAGCACCGCCGGGACUGCGGCCGCCACUGCGUGUCCUUUGGGUCCAGCGGUGUUUUAUGCAGAGGGAACUGUGCCACGUGUGCCCGCGCUGCUCAGAUCCACUGCUCGGAUGCGCGGUUGAGAGCUGGGGGUAAAGCAUCCAAUUUCCUUUUAAUUUGGCAGAGAUCUUCCCGUGGUUUCAGCUCCUAGCGUGGCCCUGCUGGAGUCCAGGCACCAAUUCCAUCCCACGACCUUCAGAUGGGAUUUUCUAGGGAUAAAGAGGCGAUAUUCUGGGGGUAGCCUGCAGGCGUGACUUGAUCUAAAAGCACAGAAUGGUGGGGCGGUCAAGUCCUGGAUUCCAGAAGUUUUGCUGUAUUUACUGAAUUGUUCUGUAUUCGCUGAAUGCGCGCUGCGCUUUAGAAAUGAGGAAAUACGUGGCUGUUUGGAGCUUAUGCUUGAAAGAAAAAAGUGGAGCUCUGCUGCCUUCCUCAGGGCUCUCGGGGAGGAGGAAACAAAAGGGGAAACAAACCGACGAAAGCAGAGUGGGAGCUGCUGUGGUUGUAUCAGAGUUCGGCGCAGGAUGGUUAUGGUGCAUGAAGGAGAAGCAGAUGUAGAAGUGCCAAAAAAUGCAGCAGAACCCUCAGUGUAUGGAGUGCAGAUAUGGGAAGGGAGCAGUUCUGUGCACCCCGGAGCUGAGCUGAGUACAGCGCUGGCACGGAGCUCUUGGUGUGCAGAACAGGGCACUGUCCAUGUGCUCUUCUGUUUUAUGCUGGCUGUUGGCAAUCGGAGGAAAAUAGCUUCUUUCUGUAAGAGCAGAGCUGGAAUGACUGCACAGUGCUGAGCUGAGGAAUCCUGCUGCCCUCCCAGGGAGCAUCUCCUGCAUCCACUUCAGGCAGCCGCAGCGCUGGGUCCCCUCGGUCCCUUCUGCCCCGUGUGGAGCAGAGGAGCGAGCCCAAGGCCACGCUACCUUGGAUGGGGCUGGAGGAGCACACAGCUGCCAGCAUCUCCCCACUGAACUCCCCAAGUGCCGGGAUGGAACGCAUGGCAGCUGUGUGAGCACUGUGCUGUCACUCUGGGGAUGCAUCAGUGGCAGUCAAGGAUGACACCAGCACCCAGCAGCUCCCAUUCCCUCCCUGAACCCCCAGCUUGGUGUGUCCGUGUGAUGGUGGCACUGCUAUGGGACAGCAUAUGGCACCCAGGGGAGCUGCACUGCAUCUGGACUUGGCGGAGCACGGCGAUCCCGGCCAUACAUCAUCAGGAGGAACGUGUGCUUGGAGCUGCUAGCACCGACUGCAUGAAAAACACAACCGAAGGGGAAAGCUGAGCACGCCUGGGCAGCAGCGGGGAAAGCAACAUCAGUGGGAGAUGAUGCCAACGGCCACCCCGACACAUCUGGGCACAACGUGUUUAGAGGGGCUGCGGGCAGCCUGGCUGAGCAGAGCCGGCUCCACGGCCGCGGGAUGUGCGGUGCUGCGAGGGAUCUCAACCAUCAAUAAACAUCAGUGUC